rnacentral:lncRNA from 1 species
CUUCACUCCUUUCCUUCUCUAGGCGUCUGAUUUGGAUCUUCUAGAGCCGUUCUAGACGGGUGUUUUCUCCUAGGACUUGGGGAGCCGGCUCCCCUCUCCCCUGUGUACACACAAGUUUUCCCAGGGGUGUGACAACCUCCGGAAAAGAGCCCUCCACUGGUAUCUGUCACUUGUGACAAGAGAAAGGGAUGAUCUGGCAUCUCAAGGACUACAACACCAGAUGGUCAACAUUCUGAGACCCCAUUUUCAGCCCAUUUGCCCUAUAACUGCUUCAAAAUGUUUUAGUUUUAAGAUGGUUCUUUAGGACGCUAGUCCACCAUCUUCCCCCUUGCUAGCAAGCUGUAAUAAAAAGACCCUUUCUCACCUACCACCUUGCCUCUUGACUGUUGGCUUGUCUUUGCAGCAAGUAAAGGACCCCUUUUGGCGGUAACAGUAAUAGUAUGGGUGGUUUCCUUAGGGUCCUCUGUUUCCUUUAGGUCCCUUUCUUAGAUGGGGUUCUGAGGUCAUGUGCAC